rnacentral:pre_miRNA from 1 species
UCCUCCUCAAGGAGGAAAUUUCUUACUGCGCGAGGGCAUAGGGGCGAAAGCAGAUUCUCAAUAUUCCCCUGGGCUCUGCUGUCCGAUGCCCUCACGCAGUUACAAGAAUUUCCUCCUCGAGGAGGA